rnacentral:tRNA from 1 species
GGAGGGUAUAGCUCAGGGGUAGAGCAUGUGCUUAGCAUGCACAAGGUCCUGGGUUCAAUCCCCAGUGCCUCCA